UACGGGGGGGGCAAGCGUUGUUCGGAAUUACUGGGCGUAAAGGGCUCGUAGGCGGCCAACUAAGUCAGACGUGAAAUCCCUCGGCUUAACCGGGGAACUGCGUCUGAUACUGGAUGGCUUGAGUUUGGGAGAGGGAUGCGGAAUUCCAGGUGUAGCGGUGAAAUGCGCAGAUAUCAGGAAGAACACCGGUGGCGAAGGCGGCUCUCUGGGCCUUACCUGACGCUGAGGAGCGAAAGCGUGGGUAGCGAACAGG
rnacentral:rRNA from 1 species